rnacentral:rRNA from 2 species
CCUACGGGGGGCAGCAGUGGGGAAUAUUGCACAAUGGAGGAAACUCUGAUGCAGCGACGCCGCGUGAGUGAUGAAGGUCUUCGGAUCGUAAAACUUUGUCCUAGGGGAAGAUAGUGACGGUACCUUAGGAGGAAGCCCCGGCUAACUACGUGCCAGCAGCCGCGGUAAUACGUAGGGGGCAAGCGUUAUCCGGAAUUAUUGGGCGUAAAGGGUUCGCAGGCGGUUAUCCAAGUCAGGUGUGAAAUCCCGAGGCUUAACCUCGGUAAGCAUUUGAAACUGGAUAGCUUGAGUUAAGGAGAGGAAAGCGGAAUUCCUAGUGUAGCGGUGAAAUGCGUAGAUAUUAGGAGGAAUACCAGUAGCGAAGGCGACUUUCUGGCCUUAAACUGACGCUGAGGAACGAAAGCGUGGGUAGCAAACAGGAUUAGAUACCCCUGUAGUC